UUCGUAGUGACCUGCGGAGGAUCAUU
rnacentral:rRNA from 1 species